CCUACGGGUGGCUGCAGUGAGGAAUAUUGGUCAAUGGGCGCGAGCCUGAACCAGCCAAGUCGCGUGAGGGAAGAAGGUCCUAUGGAUUGUAAACCUCUUUUGUCGGGGAGCAAAAGACGCUACGCGUGGCGUUACGAGAGUACCCGAAGAAAAAACAUCGGCUAACUCCGUGCCAGCAGCCGCGGUAAUAAGGAGGAUGUGGGGGUUAUUCGGAUUUAUUGGGUUUAAAGGGUGCGCAGGCGGAAGAUCAAGUCAGCGGUAAAAUUGAGGGGCUCAACCUCGUCGAGCCGUUGAAACUGGUGUUCUUGAGUGAGUGAGAAGUAUGCGGAAUGCGUGGUGUAGCGGUGAAAUGCAUAGAUAUCACGCAGAACUCCGAUUGCGAAGGCAGCAUACCGGCGCUCAACUGACGCUCAUGCACGAAAGUGUGGGUAUCGAACAGGAUUAGAUACCCCUGUAGUC
rnacentral:rRNA from 1 species